UGACCCAGGAGUUUUACAGGCUGCAGACAUCAUCAGAGAAGCGGUCGGCGGAGCUGCAAGCUCAGAAUGCCGAGCAAGCGUCUCGGCUGGAGACGUAUGAAAAGCUCGAGCAAGAGUUGGACCAAGUCACCAUGCAGGCUGCCGAAAUUGAGAAUGAAGAGGAGGCAGAGAGAGUUCUGUUCUCAUACGGCUACGGAGCCAAUGUCCCCACAACGGCUAAAAGAAGACUAAAACAAAGCGUUCACCUGGCCCGCAGGGUGCUGCAGCUCGAGAGGCAGAACACAUCACUGAGGAGAGAGCUGGAGAGAGACAAGUCACAGACAGGACAGAUAUCUGAGGAG